rnacentral:rRNA from 1 species
ACGAUGAUCCGGUGCUUGCACCGGGGAUUAGUGGCGAACGGGUGAGUAACACGUGAGUAACCUGCCCUUAACUCUGGGAUAAGCCUGGGAAACUGGGUCUAAUACCGGAUAUGACUCCUCAUCGCAUGGUGGGGGGUGGAAAGCUUUUUGUGGUUUUGGAUGGACUCGCGGCCUAUCAGCUUGUUGGUGAGGUAAUGGCUUACCAAGGCGACGACGGGUAGCCGGCCUGAGAGGGUGACCGGCCACACUGGGACUGAGACACGGCCCAGACUCCUACGGGAGGCAGCAGUGGGGAAUAUUGCACAAUGGGCGCAAGCCUGAUGCAGCGACGCCGCGUGAGGGAUGACGGCCUUCGGGUUGUAAACCUCUUUCAGUAGGGAAGAAGCGAAAGUGACGGUACCUGCAGAAGAAGCGCCGGCUAACUACGUGCCAGCAGCCGCGGUAAUACGUAGGGCGCAAGCGUUAUCCGGAAUUAUUGGGCGUAAAGAGCUCGUAGGCGGUUUGUCGCGUCUGCCGUGAAAGUCCGGGGCUCAACUCCGGAUCUGCGGUGGGUACGGGCAGACUAGAGUGAUGUAGGGGAGACUGGAAUUCCUGGUGUAGCGGUGAAAUGCGCAGAUAUCAGGAGGAACACCGAUGGCGAAGGCAGGUCUCUGGGCAUUAACUGACGCUGAGGAGCGAAAGCAUGGGGAGCGAACAGGAUUAGAUACCCUGGUAGUCCAUGCCGUAAACGUUGGGCACUAGGUGUGGGGGACAUUCCACGUUUUCCGCGCCGUAGCUAACGCAUUAAGUG